rnacentral:rRNA from 1 species
UACUGCAAGUCGAGCGGAUCUUUGAGAGCUUGCUCUCAAAGAUUAGCGGCGGACGGGUGAGUAACACGUGGGUAACCUGCCUGUAAGAUUGGGAUAACUCCGGGAAACCGGAGCUAAUACCGGAUAACAUUUUGAACCGCAUGGUUCGAAAUUGAAAGGUGGCUUUUGCUACCACUUACAGAUGGACCCGCGGCGCAUUAGCUAGUUGGUGAGGUAAUGGCUCACCAAGGCAACGAUGCGUAGCCGACCUGAGAGGGUGAUCGGCCACACUGGGACUGAGACACGGCCCAGACUCCUACGGGAGGCAGCAGUAGGGAAUCUUCCGCAAUGGACGAAAGUCUGACGGAGCAACGCCGCGUGAGUGAUGAAGGCCUUCGGGUCGUAAAGCUCUGUUGUUAGGGAAGAACAAGUACCGUUCAAAUAGGGCGGUACCAUGACGGUACCUAACCAGAAAGCCACGGCUAACUACGUGCCAGCAGCCGCGGUAAUACGUAGGUGGCAAGCGUUGUCCGGAAUUAUUGGGCGUAAAGGGCUCGCAGGCGGUUCCUUAAGUCUGAUGUGAAAGCCCACGGCUCAACCGUGGAGGGUCAUUGGAAACUGGGGAACUUGAGUACAGAAGAGGAGAGUGGAAUUCCACGUGUAGCGGUGAAAUGCGUAGAGAUGUGGAGGAACACCAGUGGCGAAGGCGACUCUCUGGUCUGUAACUGACGCUGAGGAGCGAAAGCGUGGGGAGCGAACAGGAUUAGAUACCCUGGUAGUCCACGCCGUAAACGAUGAGUGCUAAGUGUUAGAGGGUUUCCGCCCUUUAGUGCUGCAGCAAACGCAUUAAGCACUCCGCCUGGGGAGUACGGUCGCAAGACUGAAACUCAAGA